GACGAACGCUGGCGGCGUGCUUACACAUGCAAGUCGAACGCUGAAGCUUGGUGCUUGCACUGGGUGGAUGAGUGGCGAACGGGUGAGUAAUACGUGAGUAACCUGCCCUUGACUCUGGGAUAAGCCUGGGAAACUGGGUCUAAUACUGGAUAUGACAUGCCACUGCAUGGUGGUGUGUGGAAAGGGUUUUACUGGUUUUGGAUGGGCUCACGGCCUAUCAGCUUGUUGGUGGGGUAAUGGCCUACCAAGGCGACGACGGGUAGCCGGCCUGAGAGGGUGACCGGCCACACUGGGACUGAGACACGGCCCAGACUCCUACGGGAGGCAGCAGUGGGGAAUAUUGCACAAUGGGCGGAAGCCUGAUGCAGCGACGCCGCGUGAGGGAUGACGGCCUUCGGGUUGUAAACCUCUUUCAGCACGGAAGAAGCGAGAGUGACGGUACGUGCAGAAGAAGCGCCGGCUAACUACGUG
rnacentral:rRNA from 1 species